rnacentral:lncRNA from 1 species
AUGGAGGCUGAAUUUUACAUGGCGAUUCUUACCUGCUUCAUCUUCGUGAACUCAGAGGGUUUUCAGAUUGUCCAUGUCCAGAAACAACAGUGUCUUUUCAAAAAUAAGAGAGUGGUCAUGGACUUGUGCAGUAGGACAAACCAGAACCAGCAGUGGAUGUGGACUGAGGAUGGAAAGCUCCUUCAUGUUAAAUCUGCUCUGUGCCUGGGCAUCUCCAAUUCCUCUGGUGGCCCUGGCCGGGCCGCCAUCUUUGCCCCCUGCUCCCAGGCUCCUCGAUGGACUUGCUAUGAGAAGGAAGGGUUCCUUGAGGUGGAAAAUGCCUCUCUCUUUCUCAAGAAACAAGGCUCCAGGGCAGUGGUCAAGAACGGCAGAAAGUACCUCCAUAGCUGGAUGAAAAUAGAUGUCAACGAGGAAGGAAAGCCAGUCAGUGAAAGCCUCUGCUCUAAAAAAGCUGGCCCGGGAACUGAAGUCUCGGUAAGGAGCAUUAGAAACACAGCUCCUCCCCAGACCCCCGCUACUUUUAAUGCACUUCCAUAUAGCCCGGGACACCUUAUUAGAAAUACCACCGAGGCCUUCACCAGAAGUACCCCGGAAAACUACAGCCAGAACAGCAGCCAGAGGGAGCAUCCCAGUCUAUGGAUGGCUGGAAUGACAUCUUGGGUUCCCUGGACUACUCCACCCUUCUCCAGCACCACGGAAGAGACUGGACUGGGGGAGCCAGUGAGAUGCAACUUCACCUUGACAGAGUCCAGGGUCUCCAGCCGGUCCGUGUCUCUCCAGUGGAGAACUUUGGCGUUCCCCUGUAACUUUAACCUCACCUACAGCAGUGACACGUCGGGGGUCGCGUGGUGCCACCCUGUACGGAUAGACAACACCACCUAUGGAUGUAACUCCAAGGAUUUACAAGCAGGAACCAUCUACAAUUUCACUAUUAUGUCUCUGGAUGGAGAAAAGAAAACUAUGGUCUUGCAAACAGAUCCUUUACCUCCUGCUAGGUUUGAAGUCAGUAAAGAGAAAACUACUUCUACCAGUUUGCAUGUUUGGUGGACUCCUUCCUCGGGAAAAGUCACCUGGUAUGAGGUACAGUUACUUGACGAUAACCAAAAGAUACAGAUGGCCCAAAUUCAAGAAAGAGCUUCACGGAAUGAAUACACGUUUUUCAACCUCACUGCUGGUAAUAAGUAUAAAAUUGCCAUCACAGCUGUUUCUGGGGAUAAACGUUCCUCUACAAUGUAUGCCAAUGGAUCAACAGUGCCAUCCCCAGUGAAAGACAUUGGUGUUUUGGCGAAAACUAAUUCGCUCCUGAUUUCCUGGUCACGUGGCUCUGGGAACGUGGAACGAUACCAGCUGAUGUUAAUGGAUAAAGGGAUUCUAGUUCAUAGUAAUGCUGUGGACACUACUUUCUACACUUUUCAUGGACUGACGCCUGGUCACCUCUAUAAUGUCACCAUUGUUAGUGAGGCUGCAGGGCUGCAAAACUACAGAUGGAAAUCAGCCAGGACAACCCCCAUGGAAGUCUCAAAUCUGAAGGUGACGAAUGAAGGCACUACGACUUCUCUAAAAGUCAAGUGGCAAAAGCCUUCCGGAAAUGUGGAUUUCUACAACAUUACCCUGUCUUACCAAGGGACCAUCAAACAAUCCAGAAUAUUAGCAUCCCAGAUUACUGAAAGUCAAUUUAAAGACUUGGCCCCUGGACGACUUUAUCAAGUCACCAUCAGCUGUGUGUCUGGUGAAUUAUCUGCUCACAAGACAGCAGUGGGCAGAACAGUUCCACAGAAAGUUGAGGACCUGGAGGCAAACAGCAAUGGUUCUACGAAGUCCCUGGUGGUAAGCUGGUCGCCCCCUGCUGGAGACUGGGAGCGCUAUCGUAUCCUGCUCUGGAAUGAUUCUUCGGUGCUGCUCAACAUCACCGUGGGAAAGGAGGAAACACGCUAUGUCAUAGAUGACGUGGGGCUUAUACCGGGAAGACAGUAUGAGAUAGAAGUCACUGUUGAGAGCGGAAAUCUGAAGAAUUCUACGCGUUGCCAAGGCAGGACAGUUCCCCUGGCUGUCCUUCAUCUUCGUGUCAAACAUGCCAAUGAAACCUCGCUGACCAUCAUGUGGCAGACCCCUGCAGCAGAAUGGGAGAAAUACAUCAUUUCACUCAUCGACAGAGACCUCUUACUCAUCCAUAAGUUGCUUCCCAGAGAUGCCAAAGAAUUCACUUUCACUGACCUGGUGCCUGGACGAAAAUACAUAGCUACAGUCACCAGUAUUAGUGGAGACCUCAAAAAUUCAUCUUUAACAAAAGGAAGAACAGUGCCUGCCCAAGUGACUGGUUUGCAUGUGGCCAACCAAGGGACAACAAACAGUCUGUUUACUAACUGGACCCAGGCCUUGGGAGACAUAGAGUUCUACCAAGUCCUACUGAUCCAUGAAAAUGUGGUCAUCAAAAAUGAAAGUGUCUCCAGUGAGACUAGCAGAUACAGCUUCCACUCCCUCAAAUCAGGCAGCCUCUACUCCGUGGUGGUAACAACAGUAAGCGGAGGGAUCUCUUCCCGACAAGUGGUGGUGGAGGGAAGGACAGUGCCUAACAAGGUCCAGGGAGUCAGUAUCAGCAACUCGGCCAGGAGUGACUAUUUAAAGGUAUCCUGGGUACAUGCCUCUGGAGACUUUGAUCACUAUGAAGUCACCAUUAAAAACAAAAACAACUUCAUUCAAACAAAAAGCGUUCCCAAGUCUGAAAAUGAGUGUGUAUUUGUUAAACUAGUCCCUGGACGGUUGUACAGUGUUACUGUUAGUACAAAAAGUGGACAAUAUGAAGCCAGUGAACAAGGGAAUGGAAGAACAAUCCCAGAGGCUGUUAAGGAUCUCACGCUGAAGAACAGGAGCACUGAGGACCUUUGGGUGACAUGGACACGAGCUGAUGGGGAUGUCGACCAGUACGAGAUCCAGCUGCUCUUCAACGAUAUGAAAGUAUUUCCUCCUUUCCACCUCGUCAGCACUGUGACUGAGUAUCGAUUCACCUCCCUCACACCAGGGCGCAAGUAUAAAAUUCUUGUCUUGACGAUUAGUGGAGAUGUCCAGCAGUCAGCCUUCAUUGAAGGCUUCACAGUUCCUAGUGUGGUCAAAAAUAUUCACAUUUCUCCCAGUGGAGCAACAGAUAGCCUGACAGUGAACUGGACUCCUGGUGGGGGUGAUGUGGAUUCCUAUGUGGUGUCAGCAUUCAGGCAGAAUCAAAUGGUCGAGUCUCAGACUGUCCUCAAGCAUGUCUCUGAGCACACGUUCCAGAGGCUGGAGGCUGGCGAGCAGUACCGGAUUGUGAUCGCUUCUGUCAGCGGGUCCCAGAAGAACCAGAUCGAUGCGCUUGGGCGGACAAUCCCAGCAUCUGUCCAGGGAAUAACUGCAGACAAUGCAUACAGUAGUCAUUCUUUAAUAGUAAGUUGGCAAAAAGCUGUUGGCAUGGCAGAAAGAUAUGACAUCCUACUUCUGAGUGAAAAUGGGAUCCUCCUAAGUAACACAUCAGAGGCAGCCACCACGAAGCAGCACAAGUUUGAAGACCUAACACCAGGAAAGAAGUACAAGAUACAGAUCCUAACUGUCAGCGGAGGCCUCUUUAGCAAGGAAGCCCAAACAGAAGGCCGAACAGUCCCAGCAGCUGUCACCAAUCUGAGGAUCACAGAGAACUCCACGCGACACCUGUCCUUUAGCUGGACCCCCUCAGAGGGGGAGCUCAACUCCUACAACAUCUUUCUGUACAACCCAGAUCGAACUCUUAAGGAUCGAGCUCAAGUUGACCCGCAAGUCCAGAGCUUCUCCUUCCAGAACUUGCUACAAGGUCGAAUGUACAGAAUGGUGAUUGUAACUCACAGUGGGGAGCUGUCAAAUGAGUCUUUCAUAUUUGGGAGAACAGUCCCAGCCACUGUGAGUAACCUCAAAGGAUCCAAUCAAAACAUGACAGACAGCCUCUGGUUCAGCUGGAGUCCAGCCCCUGGGGACUUUGACUUUUAUGAACUGAUUCUCUAUAACCCCAAUGGCACAAAGAAGGAAAACUGGAAAGACAAGGACCUGACAGAGUGGCGUUUUCAUGGCCUCGUUCCCGGAAGGAAGUAUACUCUGUGUGUGAUAACUCACAGUGGAGAUCUCAGCAACAGGGCCAUGGGAGAGAGCAGAACAGCCCCAAGUCCUCCCAGUCUUAUGUCAUUUGCUGAUGUUACAAACACAUCACUGGCCAUCACCUGGAAAGGCCCACCAGACUGGACAGACUAUGAUGACUUUGAGCUGCAGUGGUUCCCCAGAGAUGCCAUCACAGUCUUCAACCCCUACAGCAACAGAAAAUCAGAAGGACGCAUCGUGCAUGGUCUUCGUCCAGGGAGAUCUUAUCAAUUUAGCGUCAAGACCGUCAGUGGUGAUUCCUGGAAAACCUACAGCAAACCAAUUUUUGGAUCUGUGAGGACAAAGCCAGACAAGAUACAGAACCUGCAUUGCCGCCCUCAGAACUCUACAGCCAUUGCCUGUUCUUGGAUCCCUCCCGAUUCUGACUUUGAUGGGUACAGCAUUGAGUGCCGGAAAAUGGACACUCAAGAAGUUGAGUUCUCCAGAAAGCUGGAGAAAGAAAAAUCUCUGCUUAACAUCAUGAUGUUGGUGCCUCAUAAGAGGUACCUGGUGUCUAUCAAGGUGCAGUCGGCAGGCAUGACCAGCGAGGUGGUUGAGGACAGCACCAUCACCAUGAUAGACCGCCCCCCUCCUCCACCUCCACAUAUUCGUGUGAAUAAAAAGGAUGUGCUAAUUAGCAAAUCUUCCAUCAACUUUACUUUCAACUGCAGCUGGUUCAGCGACGCCAAUGGAGCUGUGAAAUACUUCACAGUGGUGGUGAGAGAGGCUGAUGGCAAUGACGAGCUGAAGCCAGAGCCACAGCACCCCCUGCCCUCCUACCUGGAAUACAGGCACAACGCCUCCAUUCGGGUGUAUCAGACCGAUUACUUUGCCAGCAAAUGUGCCGAAAGUCCUGACAGCAACUCUAAGAGUUUCAACAUUAAGCUUGGAGCAGAGAUGGAGAGCCUGGGUGGAAAAUGUGAUCCCAAUCAGCAAAAAUUUUGUGACGGGCCACUGAAGCCGCGCACGGCCUACAGAAUCAGCAUUCGGGCUUUCACCCAGCUAUUUGAUGAGGACCUGAAGGAAUUCACAAAACCACUCUAUUCAGACACAUUUUUCUCUUUGCCCAUCACCACUGAGUCAGAGCCUCUGUUUGGAGUUAUUGAAGGUGUGAGUGCUGGUCUGUUCUUAAUUGGCAUGCUUGUCGCUGUUGUCGCCUUAUUCAUCUGCAGACGGAAAGCCAGCCAUGGUCGAGAAAGGCCCUCUGCCCGUCUGAGCAUUCGUCGGGAUCGACCACUGUCAGUCCACUUGAACUUGGGCCAGAAAGGUAGCAGGAAGACUUCUUGCCCAAUAAAAGUAAAUCAGUUUGAAGGGCACUUCAUGAAGCUGCAGGCUGACUCCAACUAUCUUCUAUCCAAGGAAUACGAGGAUUUAAAAGACGUGGGUCGAAACCAAUCAUGUGACAUUGCACUCUUGCCGGAGAACAGAGGGAAAAAUCGAUACAACAACAUAUUGCCCUAUGAUUCCUCUCGAGUGAAGCUGUCCAACGUGGAUGAUGACCCAUGCUCUGACUAUAUCAAUGCCAGCUACAUCCCUGGCAACAACUUCAGGAGAGAAUACAUCGCAACUCAGGGACCUCUUCCUGGCACCAAGGAUGACUUCUGGAAAAUGGCGUGGGAACAGAAUGUUCACAACAUCGUCAUGGUGACCCAGUGUGUGGAGAAGGGCCGAGUAAAGUGUGACCAUUAUUGGCCAGCGGACCAAGAUUCCCUCUACUAUGGGGACCUCAUUCUGCAGAUGCUGUCGGAAUCCGUGCUGCCCGAGUGGACCAUCCGGGAAUUUCGGAUAUGCAGUGAGGAACAGUUGGAUGCACACAGACUCAUCCGCCACUUCCACUACACCGUAUGGCCAGACCACGGUGUCCCGGAGAGCACCCAGUCCCUGAUCCAGUUUGUGAGAACUGUCAGGGACUACAUCGACAGGACCCCCGGGGCCGGGCCCACUGUGGUGCACUGCAGUGCUGGUGUGGGUAGGACUGGAACCUUUAUUGCAUUGGAUCGAAUCCUCCAGCAAUUAGACUCCAAAGAUUCUGUGGACAUUUAUGGAGCUGUGCAUGACCUAAGACUUCACAGGGUUCACAUGGUCCAGACCGAGUGUCAGUAUGUGUACCUACAUCAGUGUGUAAGAGAUGUGCUCAGAGCAAGGAAGCUACGGAGUGAACAAGAAAACCCUUUGUUUCCAAUCUACGAAAAUGUGAAUCCAGAGUAUCACAGAGAUUCAGGCUAUUCAAGGCAUUGA